UGAACUCUACCUGACAGAACUGCAAAUGAAAAACUGUAAGAGUGUGUUUUUCUGCCAGGCUGAGCAAGAACUGUUAAAGGAGGUUUCUGGACGGUCUGGUGCCAAAUUUGAACAUUUCCGUACUGACAAGAAACUAAUGAGGAAUUUACACAUGUAUAACCAGCACCAUGUGAAAACCUGCAAACCUGCUCAUGAAGACCAAGAAAUCCUUCUGGGUGAAUUCUUGAAGAAUCUCUUGACAUGUGUUCAGAAAGAAUAUAGCCAAG